rnacentral:rRNA from 1 species
GAUGAACGCUGGCGGCGUGCCUAAUACAUGCAAGUCGAGCGAACAGAUGAGGAGCUUGCUCCUCUGACGUUAGCGGCGGACGGGUGAGUAACACGUGGAUAACCUACCUAUAAGACUGGGAUAACUUCGGGAAACCGGAGCUAAUACCGGAUAAUAUAUUGAACCGCAUGGUUCAAUAGUGAAAGACGGUUUUGCUGUCACUUUUAGAUGGAUCCGCGCCGCAUUAGCUAGUUGGUAAGGUAACGGCUUACCAAGGCAACGAUGGGUAGCCGACCGGAGAGGGUAACGGCCCCAAUGGGACCGGGACCACGGCCCAAACCCCUAGGGGGGGCGGCGGAGGGAAUCCUCCCCAAAGGGGGAAAAGCUGAUGGAGCCAAGGCCCGGGGGGGAAGAAGGGCUUUGGAUUCGAAAACCUCUUUUUUAGGGAAAAAACAAAGUGAGAAGAAAUGUUCACGGUUUUAAGGUAACCAACUAAAAAACCCCGGCUAAAUUCGGU